AGGGGUGUAGCUCAGUGAUAGAGCACUUGCCUAGCAUGUAUGAGUCCCUGGGUUCAGUCCCUAGUACUGCUC
rnacentral:tRNA from 1 species